rnacentral:lncRNA from 1 species
AGAUGGGACAGUGUCCCAGGUGGACAUCUUGCCUGUGGCACACUGGACUCUGGCUAGAGGCCUCUCUUGGAAGCUGUCCUGCAGCUGCCUGAGCCCCUUGUCUCAGGGACAGCCCCAAGUGACUGGUUGCUAGCCAGACAUCAUUGGCCCAUGGCACUUUUGCUUUGGUGGUGGAAGAAACUAGGUUUAGGACUUAGGAAGACGUCUCUUCAUGGCAUGCCAAGCGGUGCCAUGUCUGCACCAGGGAUCCAAACCGGCAAACCCCAGGCCACUGAGAAGUGAAUGUGCGAACUUAACCACUGCACCACCGGGCCAGCCCCUGGAGUUAAGAAAACCUUUUUCUCUAUUCUCUUAAAGAACUAUGACUUACAGCAAUUUAUAAACAAAAUUGAAACAUUCGUCUUUUCUUCACUACCUGAGCCCUCCAAAACGUAAAAACCCCUGAUGAGUAAGUAUUCUUAUUCUUAUGGCAACAUAGUUGUUUGCAUGAGUCCAGUAAGAAUCUGUGCUUCUUUUAACAGGACACAAUUGGAAACACUGCUUAUAUUACCAAGGCUUUGACUGGAACAUCAUAUUUAAAAAAACAUACGGGCUUGGAUAUAACAAGACAGCUUUUGAGGAACGAAGGUUGACAUUCUGGAAUAAAGCCACUUGGAAAUAUUGGGCUGGUACUGUGCUUAUGGGUUCUGUAGCCUGGUAAGUUUGAGCAAAGAAUGUCUCUCCCUCUAGCAGGUACAAGGAACCUCAAUAUUUUGGGGAACAUCACAAAGAGAGGGAUUCACCCAAAUCUGUAGGUACUGCAGGUAGAAUGUGAUAACAGGUCCUUUGCCUGGUUUUCCUUGAGAGGCUUUUAAAGUUCAACCUGAGAUUCCUUAUAAGGUUCUAGCAAAGCAGAUUUAAAAGAGCCUAUAUGAUCAAUUACUAUUCUUGCUGUACUUAUGUAAAUAAUUAUGCCAAGUUUAUCAAAACUAGACUUAUUUUUCAAACCAGUUAGUCUUAAUUUGACUAUAUCUGGUGAAAUUGAGGGUGAUUUUAGGGAGGAAGAUUAUGUUUCAAUAAAAACUAUAUUACACAUUUAUAGAUAUUGGAUUUUAGUUUUUUCAAUUGUCUUUGAAAUUUUAUUUUACUUCUGUUAACUGAACUGGAUCUUAAAUUCUUCUAGUCUCCUAAAAUAUCUGGCUAAAAACCUCCAAACUAACAUUUUCAGGGUUUUUUUCCCAUUAUUUUCAUUUGGAGUCAUUGAAAACUAAAUCUGCCCUUUUUCCUAAAGCCUUACAAACUGAAGCUGGAAGACCUAAUAUAAACAUAAGAGAGAUUCACGUCUACUGCUGUGUACGCCACUCAAAAACGUACCUGAGUGCCCAAUGACACCAUCAGAGACAUUUCAAACUGCAAAAGAUGCUUCGACCCUGACUUCUAGGAAUAUUGAUUGGCUGCCCCCUGGGCCCAAAAAGUGGUUUAUAAUUUACUCCAAACAUUAACCUUGUUUUUCUCUUUUUGUUUCUCUAGAAAAACUUCUUAUUAAACACCUGGUUACUUACCUACAUGACACAGGCCUAACUUCAGGAGCCCACCAGCAUCACUGCCUUAUUAAAAGACUAGUUCAAUGAGAUGAAACAACCUAUGCCCCAUUUCAACAGGAAGUAGCUAUAUCAGUCACUGUCCCAAAUCCCUCAAGAUUGAGGCAUGGACAUAAAAUAGGGGAGAGUUGAUAUCAACCCUGAUAUCAGUUUCCCCACGUUAAACCCAGCAUAUAUGGGGUUAAAAACAAAACACUCAUUCCUAUCUUACUCUCUGGUUUCCUGGCUCCAGAAUCCACUAUCCUCCAUGGAGACAGACACCACCAAGGAGAGGCACCUGGAUUAUCUCCUCCCCACAAAGAGAUACAGGCUGGUGGGAAAGUUGCUGACCAUCAAGGUCAUGGGCUCCCUCCUCUCUGCAAGUGGUCUCAAGGCCAAAGACAGGCUAGGUGGGAAAGCUCUGACCAGCAAGGCCUUAUGCUCUCUCUUCCCUACCUAAAACCCCAAAUAAAAACCCUUCCUUUUAGCUUUUUGGGGAGUUUGGGAUUUCAGCAUUAGCUGCCCUCUCUCCUUGCUCAGUGCUGUGCAAAAAUAAAAUUUCUACUUUCUUCCACCACA